GUCGUCCAAAGCCGAAAGGCAGGGACUAAGUUUAAUAAAUAAUAUAAGUUUCGUAAGAUGGCUUGAAAACUUAUUCUAUUAUUUAUUCUAUUUGUUAUUCUAUCAAUGAUAAAAGAUCAUGAAAUCUUUAUAUUUUACAUUAUAUAUAUAUGUCAGAGAUGAAAGGAAAACCGGAGCCUUCCCUUUACUAUUUUGAGGAAGCCUUUUAAUGCUUUAGCCUAGAUUUUAUCAUAACUGUAAUUAAGCAAUUGUCAUUUGUAAUUGUUUGAUAUUUGUGAAAGCGAAACUGGGUUCGAGGUGACAACUGGUCGCCGAACGUAGCCACGGUCACGGGAUAAACGUUUUGCCUGACGAAGGUGUGGAUCGGUUGUAUCGUUCUCCCUAGAAAUCACAUAGAAUUGUACUUUAGAGAUGUCGAUAUAAUGGGACACACGUUGUAUUAGGAAUCAAUCUCCAGACAGAAACUGCCUAGCAACGGCGUUUGGAUCUUUCUCGAUGUUUCCAAAGAGUAUACAACAAACUUUUGACAGAAAUUGCCUAGCAACAACGAUUGGAACCUUCUCGAUGUUUCCAGCGAGCAUAUAACAAACAAAUGCAGUCGUAUAGCGAAAAAGAUUUUCAUCAGAUAUUCAUUCGUGUGAUCGCCUUGGAAAGUGAUACAUCGAGCAAUUUACCGAGUGUCUCAGCAAUCGUAUUUUUGUGUUUAAAAUUAUUCUACGCAUAGUAAAGAGUUAUCCCAUUGACCGUGGAUUCGUUUGAACCCCGGAACAUUGUUAAUAGCGUUAAUUAAAUUCAUUAUUCGUAAAACCUAUCAAUCGUUAAUCUCAUUAUUCGUUAAAUUUAUUAUUCGUAAGACAUAUUAUUCGUUCCUCUUAUUGUUCGUUAAACUUAUUAUUCUUUAAUCUAAUUAUUAGUUAAACUUAUCGUUUGUUAAUCUUAUCAUUUAUUAAACUCAUUAUUCAUAAUA